rnacentral:rRNA from 1 species
CGCGAACGCACCUUCGGGUGUUAUUAGAGUGGCGGACGGGUGAGUAACACGUGGGAACAUGCCUUUCGGUACGGAACAACGCUUGGAAACGAGUGCUAAUACCGUAUACGCCCUUCGGGGGAAAGAUUUAUCGCCGAAAGAUUGGCCCGCGCUAGAUUAGCUAGUUGGUAAGGUAAUGGCUUACCAAGGCGACGAUCUAUAGCUGGUUUGAGAGGAUGAUCAGCCACACUGGGACUGAGACACGGCCCAGACUCCUACGGGAGGCAGCAGUGGGGAAUAUUGCACAAUGGGGGCAACCCUGAUGCAGCCAUGCCGCGUGUGUGAAGAAGGCCUUCGGGUUGUAAAGCACUUUCAGUUGUGAGGAAAGGUUGAUGGUUAAUACCCAUCAGCUGUGACGUUAGCAACAGAAGAAGCACCGGCUAACUCCGUGCCAGCAGCCGCGGUAAUACGGAGGGUCCGAGCGUUAAUCGGAAUUACUGGGCGUAAAGCGUGCGUAGGCGGAUUGUUAAGUCAGAUGUGAAAUCCCGGGGCUCAACCUCGGAACUGCAUUUGAAACUGGCUGUCUAGAGUAUUGUAGAGGGUGGUGGAAUUUCCAGUGUAGCGGUGAAAUGCGUAG